CAGAAGGUAAAGCAGGCCAUCCUAGUGCGGUAUGCCAUUACCCCCGAGGCAUACCGACUCCAAUUCCGGGACCUGAAAAAGCAAGAAAAGGACUCCCAUGCAGAGUUUGUGCACCGCUUACACCAAGCAGCCACAGGAUGGAUUAAUGCGGCGCAAGCAACUACCCGGGAAGAUCUCAUUCAAUUACUUUUGUUGGAACAGUUCUACCGGAGACUAACUACUGAUAUGCAAAACUGGGUAAGAGAUCGUAAACCACGCAACUUACAAGAAGUGGCUAAAUUAGCGGACGAACAUCAAGACACGAGGCAAGAGCAACGCACACCACCUAAGGUAGCAAAGCACCUACCGGUCUACCGUGGCCAACCCCCCUCGAUCCGGAGGAGCCUACAAUCAGUACCAACCUAGGUACUCCAACCGGGCACACAUCCGAUGCCAUACCUGCAACCAACUAGGACAUGUACAACGCAACUGUCCCCGAAACAGGGCACAACCACCAGGGCCCAACUAAGGCCAACCGCCUGGCCCUAGAGCAGCAGUGCACUGCUACCAGACAGGAGCGUUCCUCCAGCCUCACACCACCACCCAGGUAGAAGAACCUCUAGGCACGCUCCACGAAGUUAACCCCGUGUAAAGCAGCAUCCGACAACCGCCAAAGCCAUCGACAAGUUGUCCAUGUGGAGGGGAAACGUAUGGAAGGGCUGAGAGAUUCCGGGGCCACCAUCACAUUGGUCAGAAACCACCUUGUCCCAAAAGACCAACUUACGGGAGAUUGCAUAGCCAUACAGGUGGCAGGGGGAGCAAUCUACAAGGUUCCCACUGCCAAACUGCAUUUGAAUUGGGGAGCUGGGGCGGGAAUAUGGAGGUGGGGAUGAUGCAAGACUUGCCCGCAGAUGUUAUUUUGGGAAAUGACUUGG